UCUCCGUAGGUGAACCUGCGGAGGGAUCAUUACUGAGUGAGGGCUCACGCCCGACCUCCAACCCUUUGUGAACCAAACCUGUUGCUUCGGGGGCGACCCUGCCGUUCGGCGCGGCGCCCCCGGAGGCUCAUCAAACACUGCAUCUUUGCGUCGGAGUCUUAAUGAAUUUAAACAAAACUUUUAACAACGGAUCUCUUGGUUCUGGCAUCGAUGAAGAACGCAGC
rnacentral:misc_RNA from 1 species